rnacentral:rRNA from 1 species
AAAUUGAAGAGUUUGAUCAUGGCUCAGAUUGAACGCUGGCGGCAGGCCUAACACAUGCAAGUCGAACGGUAACAGGAAGCAGCUUGCUGCUUUGCUGACGAGUGGCGGACGGGUGAGUAAUGUCUGGGAAACUGCCUGAUGGAGGGGGAUAAUUACUGGAAACGGUGGCUAAUACCGCAUAACGUCGCAAGACCAAAGAGGGGGACCUUCGGGCCUCUUGCCAUCAGAUGUGCCCAGAUGGGAUUAGCUUGUUGGUGAGGUAACGGCUCACCAAGGCGACGAUCCCUAGCUGGUCUGAGAGGAUGACCAGCCACACUGGAACUGAGACACGGUCCAGACUCCUACGGGAGGCAGCAGUGGGGAAUAUUGCACAAUGGGCGCAAGCCUGAUGCAGCCAUGCCGCGUGUAUGAAGAAGGCCUUCGGGUUGUAAAGUACUUUCAGCGGGGAGGAAGGUGUUG